rnacentral:rRNA from 1 species
GACGAACGCUGGCGGCGUGCUUACCACAUGCAAGUCGAACGGAAAGGCCCUGCUUUUGUGGGGUGCUCGAGUGGCGAACGGGUGAGUAACACGUGAGUAACCUGCCCUUGACUUUGGGAUAACUUCAGGAAACUGGGGCUAAUACCGGAUAGGAGCUCCUGCUGCAUGGUGGGGGUUGGAAAGUUUCGGCGGUUGGGGAUGGACUCGCGGCUUAUCAGCUUGUUGGUGGGGUAGUGGCUUACCAAGGCUUUGACGGGUAGCCGGCCUGAGAGGGUGACCGGCCACAUUGGGACUGAGAUACGGCCGAGACUCCUACGGGAGGCAGCAGUGGGGAAUAAUGCACAAUGGGCGGAAGCCUGAUGCAGCAACGCCGCGUGCGGGAUGACGGCCUUCGGGUUGUAGACCGCUUUCGCCUGUGACGAAGCGUGAGUGACGGUAAUGGGUAAAGAAGCACCGGCUAACUACGUG